GGCAGCAGUAGGGAAUAUUGCGCAAUGGGGGAAACCCUGACGCAGCAACGCCGCGUGGAGGAUGACACUUUUCGGAGCGUAAACUCCUUUUCUUAGGGAAGAAUUCUGACGGUACCUAAGGAAUAAGCACCGGCUAACUCCGUGCCAGCAGCCGCGGUAAUACGGAGGGUGCAAGCGUUACUCGGAAUCACUGGGCGUAAAGGGCGCGUAGGCGGAUUAUCAAGUCUCUUGUGAAAUCUAAUGGCUUAACCAUUAAACUGCUUGGGAAACUGAUAGUCUAGAGUGAGGGAGAGGCAGAUGGAAUUGGUGGUGUAGGGGUAAAAUCCGUAGAUAUCACCAAGAAUACCCAUUGCGAAGGCGAUCUGCUGGAACUCAACUGACGCUAAGGCGCGAAAGCGUGGGGAGCAAACAGGAUUAGAUACCCUGGUAGUCCACGCCCUAAACGAUGUACACUAGUUGUUGGGGUGCUAGUCAUCUCAGUAAUGCAGCUAACGCAUUAAGUGUACCGCCUGGGGAGUACGGUCGCAAGAUUAAAACUCAAAGGAAUAGACGGGGACCCGCACAAGCGGUGGAGCAUGUGGUUUAAUUCGAAGAUACGCGAAGAACCUUACCUGGGCUUGAUAUCCUAAGAACCUUUUAGAGAUAAGAGGGUGCUAGCUUGCUAGAACUUAGAGACAGGUGCUGCACGGCUGUCGUCAGCUCGUGUCGUGAGAUGUUGGGUUAAGUCCCGCAACGAGCGCAACCCACGUAUUUAGUUGCUAACGGUUCGGCCGAGCACUCUAAAUAGACUGCCUUCGUAAGGAGGAGGAAGGUGUGGACGACGUCAAGUCAUCAUGGCCCUUAUGCCCAGGGCGACACACGUGCUACAAUGGCAUAUACAAUGAGACGCAAUACCGCGAGGUGGAGCAAAUCUAUAAAAUAUGUCCCAGUUCGGAUUGUUCUCUGCAACUCGAGAGCAUGAAGCCGGAAUCGCUAGUAAUCGUAGAUCAGCCAUGCUACGGUGAAUACGUUCCCGGGUCUUGUACUCACCGCCCGUCACACCAUGGGAGUUGAUUUCACUCGAAGCCGGAAUACUAAACUAGUUACCGUCCACAGUGGAAUCAGCGACUGGGGUGAAGUCGUAACAAGGUAACCGUAGGAGAACCUGCGGUUGGAUCACCUCCUUUCUA
rnacentral:rRNA from 1 species